GCGACGCCACGGUUGGGGGGGCGGGGUCUUGGGUGACGCCACACUCGGGGGGGCCGCGCUCUUUGUUUUCACUUGGGGCGGCAAAAAUGUUAGAGCCGGCCCUGCCUCAUGAAGAACCCUGAUGAGUGUGAUGGCCUCUCAUUGUCCACCCCCCCAAAGUUGGAAGACGACAUGGCUUGGGGGAGUCACCAGCGGACAAGGUGAACGGGAAAGACGUCGCUCAGCUCGACGAUGCCUUUCAAGAGGCCUUUGAGAACUUACACAUCGGUAGCCCUGUCGUUCAUCAGCUGUUUUUGUUCCUGUCUGAGACGCAGAUCUCAAGAGGAAAAUCCGGAAAAGGACAAAAUAGAAAAAUGUACCAGAUCAGAGUCCCUCAUUGUAAGGGUUAUGGUGUCCAUUUUUACAGACAGCUGUCAAAGGUUGUGUUAAACCAGGCAAUUAAUUAAACUUAUUUAAAUGUGUCCA